rnacentral:rRNA from 1 species
GUAGGUGGCAAGCGUUGUCCGGAAUUAUUGGGCGUAAAGCGCGCGCAGGCGGUUCUUUAAGUCUGAUGUGAAAGCCCACGGCUCAACCGUGGAGGGUCAUUGGAAACUGGAGAACUUGAGUACAGAAGAGGAAAGCGGAAUUCCACGUGUAGCGGUGAAAUGCGUAGAGAUGUGGAGGAACACCAGUGGCGAAGGCGGCUUUUCUGGUCUGUAACUGACUCUGAGGCGCGAAAGCGUGGGGAGCAAACAGGGAUUAGAUACCCUGGUAGUCCACGCCGUAAACGAUGAGUGCUAAGUGUUAGGGGGUUUCCGCCCCCUUAGUGCUGCAGCUAACGCAUUAAGCACUCCGCCUGGGGAGUACGGCCGCAAGGCUG